GACGUAGGAUGCAAGCGUUGUCCGGAAUUAUUGGGCGUAAAGAGUUCGUAGGCGGUUACUUAAGUCUGGUGUUAAAGACGGGAGCUCAACUCCCGCAUGGCAUUGGAAACUGGGUGACUAGAGUGUGGUAGAGGUCUCGGGAAUUCCAGGUGUAGCGGUGAAAUGCGUAGAUAUCUGGAGGAACACCAGUGGCGAAAGCGCGAGACUGGGCCAUAACUGACGCUGAGGCGCGAAAGCUAGGGGAGCAAACGGG
rnacentral:rRNA from 1 species